rnacentral:rRNA from 1 species
ACGAAGGCCUUAGGGUCGUAAAGCUCUUUCAACUGUGAAGAUAAUGACGGUAGCAGUAGUAGAAACCCCGGCUAACUCCGUGCCAGCAGCCGCGGUAAUACGGAGGGGGUUAGCGUCGUUCGGAAUUACUGGGCGUAAAGCGCAUGUAGGCGGACUAUUAAGUCGAGGGUGAAAUCCCGGGGCUCAACCCCGGAACUGCCUUCGAUACUGGUAGUCUUGAGUUCGAGAGAGGUGAGUGGAAUUCCGAGUGUAGAGGUGAAAUUCGUAGAUAUUCGGAGGAACACCAGUGGCGAAGGCGGCUCACUGGCUCGAUACUGACGCUGAGGUGCGAAAGUGUGGGGAGCAAACAGGAUUAGAUACCCUGGUAGUCCACACCGUAAACGAUGAAUGCCAGACGUCGGGUAGCAUGCUAUUCGGUGUCACACCUAACGGAUUAAGCAUUCCGCCUGG